rnacentral:rRNA from 1 species
GACAGAGGUGCCAAGCGUUAGGCGGAAUCACUGGGCUUAAAGCGUGUGUAGGCGGUCUUUUAAGUCGGGGGUGAAAUCCCGAGGCUCAACCUCGGAACUGCCCUCGAUACUGGCGUCUUGAGUCCGGGAGAGGUGAGUGGAACUCCGAGUGUAGAGGUGAAAUUCGUAGAUAUUCGGAAGAACACCAGUGGCGAAGGCGGCUCACUGGCCCGGUACUGACGCUGAGAUACGAAAGCGUGGG